AAAAAAAUGAUAGAAGAAGGUAUAAAGUUACUCAUUCUAUGAUGGAAAUCAACACCUGAAUUAUGUCAGAUAAAUACAACAACAUUCAAUAAAAAUUAUUUAUUGAAAUGUUAUAGGAGUGGGAAACUUUGAUAUUAUCUUGACUAUUAAAAAUCUUUGUGAUGAACAAAAGAAUGACUUACUUUUGAUUGUUGAACUAAUAAUUCUUUAUGCUCAUUUCCCUACUUAGUGUCUUAAACAAAUCACGCUUAAAAUAUUUGCACUAAAUUUUAGAUAAAAUUAUGAUAUAAACUUAUGGGCUUUUUAUGCAAUAGAAAUGAAUCCCUCUAUGUUGAGUUUGUCUGAACAAUAUGUAACUUUUUUCUUUAGAAAUGGAUUAAACUAAAUUCUUCAUUUCAGUUGUAUAUGCAAGUAACUCCCAUGUGAUUUAAAGACAAUUAUGGAAUGCACUUAUCGAUCUUAAAUCGGAAAAUCCUCACCCUUGGUGCAUGAUAGGUGAUUUCAAUGUAGUUAUUGGUUCCCUUGAGAAAUUUGGUAGUUGGACCAAUCAAAAUCCCCUUAUGCAUCUUGACAUUACUGACAGCUAUUACACUUGAACCAAUGGGAGAAAAAGUGGUGCUUACUCUUCUAUUAGGCUUUACAUAGACAUUUGUAAUCGAAAUUAGAUAGAUAAUUGAAAUACAGUCAAUUAUUAUCCUAUUCUUAUCCAUUAUGAUAAAGGUAUGUGUGAAUCGGCUAGGCUAUUCAAAUUUCUAAAAGUUUGGACUCUAGAUGAUAGGUGUAGACAAUUGAUUCCUGAUAAUUGGAAUACUUGUAUAGUUGAUUUCCCUGUGUUUGUUUUAUAUGCUAAGAUGGGAUCUUUUAAACCUAUUCUUAAAAAUGGAGCAAAGAGAUAUUU
rnacentral:lncRNA from 1 species